GACCUUGGAACACUCAACUCUAAAUGGGAGGUCUCCAUCAAAUCCCUCCCCUCAGAGCUCAGCGAACCCCAAAGAAGAGGAGAUGGAAAGAGAGUAAGAGUCAGAGAGGAUGGACAGAGGGAUUGAAGGACACCAGGAGGACAAGGCUCUCUGAAUCAGCUGAGCUAGGAUCAUAUGAACUCAGAGACUGAAGCAGCAAGCACAGGGCCUCCUCGCGUCUGCACCGGGUCCUCAACAGGUGUACUAUGGCUUUCAGUCUAGUAUUUUUUAAUGGAACUCCUGAGCAUAUGAACAACUUCUAAAUGCCUGUGUGCUACCACGUCCAUCUGGCAACUUGAUCAUUGUGAAGCAGGACCCCUUCGUUUUCAGGCAGCUGUCUUCAAUGGAAUGCCUCUACUCACAGAAGAAGGACCCACAGACUCCUGUGCAUAUCACUGAGAGAAAGAAGACGGGUAUCGGGUGUGAAAGGCGUCUAAUCACAGCUAGCUGACACUGGGAAGAGGCAAAACUAUAAAGACUAUAAAGAGUUACACAGAUGUCAUUGAUGUUGUCCAGGCCCUGCAGACUCACCCAGACCCAAAUGUCAAGUCCUACUUCUCCAAUGGUGCUGUCACCGUGUGUGUGGAGCCCCUGAGCUGCUACAUGGAGCACAGGUAGACACGUAAGACCACCUCCAGCCCACGAUGUGGUGUGGAAGUGAACUGUAGUGAUUUCCCUCCCCACCAGACUGAGACAGGCUUUACACAGGUUUGGUUUGUGGAACACAUCAGCCUGUGGUGUAUACAGUAAGUACCCCAUGACUCUGAUUUGUAUGAAUUCCUAAAAGGGCACGGAGCAAGAUAAAGUAGAUUAUGGAAGACAGGCUUCAUUCAACUCUGUGAGAAUAGGGUCCAUAUCUUUUCAAUGCUUGGGUUCAAUCCCAAAUACUUCAAAGAAAAGAGGAGAAGGAAAAGAGGUGAGGUUGGGGGGAAGGCAACUGUGAAGAGCCUCAGACCCAGGCAAGCUUCUAAAGGCUUCCUCCUUUCACAGCUAUUAGCGACUCAAGUGCCCUCAUGCUCCCCCCCCCCGAACCUGCAUUUUCAGAUAAUAAACUCAAAAUAGAGAAGACAGAGCUGUCUCAUUGAGUCCUAUCAAGGUCUAUUGUUCUCCCAGAUGCCCCAUAUCCAGAAAAGCCCUUGGGACCUUUUAAACACCUACUCCAGCCAGAAAUACUAGAAAAUAUAAUGGAGUUAUGCACAUGGUACACACCU